CAAAAGACGGCAGCUAAGUUGGCUACCUCAAUGUGCAAUUCACUGAAAGGGAGACCUGUUCUGGGUCAUAUAUUUCAAGGGAAGGAGCCACCCCAAUUUGUUGCCAUCUUCCAGCCACUGGUGAUCCUUAAGGUACCUCGUAUCUCAUUUUGUUUACUGCUAAACCGGGAAUCUAGAAGGCAUUAAUUAAACCAGAACUACACUUCUACCAGUUUCUGAGGAAUACAAAGGUUCAUUUAAUUUUACAAGACAAUAUUUUAUUAAUAGCAUUCCCAAAUUGCAGAUUUAUUUUCAUGAAAUACCGGAUGAAGCCAUUGAUAAACUGGUGAGUGAUUCUUGACUUUAAUGGGCAAACUUACACAGGUUGCUAUUGCAAUUUUAACUUUUAGGCUAUUGUUGGCCAUGUAAACUAACCAAUUUAUAUGGAUUGUGAUUAUGGUAAUGCUUUUCUUGCUUAGGUGUAUGAAGCCUUCAGUCUUCUUGCCCUUUCAACAAGAUCUAUUGCAGGGUCCAGAUCUUCUAUUUGUAAUGAACUUCUAAUGAUUGUUAGGAAGCAGGUGAGUGGAAAGUAUAACCCGAACUUCCAUUUUCAUGCACUUUCUUGCAUUGACUUAUCUUCUUCAAAUAUCUUGACAAUUGAUAACCCAUACUUCCAUUUUCAAGCA